rnacentral:rRNA from 1 species
ACGAACGCUGGCGGCGUGCUUAACACAUGCAAGUCGAACGGAAAGGCCCUGCUUUUGUGGGGUGCUCGAGUGGCGAACGGGUGAGUAACACGUGAGUAACCUGCCCUUGACUUUGGGAUAACUUCAGGAAACUGGGGCUAAUACCGGAUAGGAGCUCCUGCUGCAUGGUGGGGGUUGGAAAGUUUCGGCGGUUGGGGAUCGACUCGCGGCUUAUCAGCUUGUUGGUGGGGUAGUGGCUUACCAAGGCUUUGACGGGUAGCCGGCCUGAGAGGGUGACCGGCCACAUUGGGACUGAGAUACGGCCCAGACUCCUACGGGAGGCAGCAGUGGGGAAUAUUGCACAAUGGGCAGAAGCCUGAUGCAGCAACGCCGCGUGCGGGAUGACGGCCUUCGGGUUGUAAACCGCUUUCGCCUGUGACGAAGCGUGAGUGACGGUAAUGGGUAAAGAAGCACCGGCUAACUACGUG